rnacentral:rRNA from 1 species
AUGCGCCAAGUUCGACUACAUGGUCCGCCAAGUUCCUCUACCGAUGACUCGAACGCCUACGAACCGUGUACAACUACCGUCGCGAGAACGACUACUUCCUCUACGAAACGAAUACCACUACUUCCCUCGACGACUCGAACCGCUCCGAAGAUGCACGCUUCGAAGCUUUGGUUUUGUUCCGAAGUUGUGAGGGUUCGUUCGUCUACGACCGUUUGUCUUCUUCAUGGAAUCGUUCUUCUUCCUUGCGGGAUUUCAGUUUGCAGGUGCCUAUGUUACCGAGCAGGUGACGCAACCAAGCUCAAGGAGGAGCUCGAUGAAGAACUUGCCCUUUGUGUUGUUUUGUUCUAG